rnacentral:misc_RNA from 1 species
CAGAGUUAUCAAAACUCCCAAACCCAUGUGAACAUACCUCGCGUUGCCUCGGCAGGUGGCGUCUCGCCCCGUAAGGUGCUACCCUGUAGGGUCUUACCCGGUAGACGACCCUGCCGACGGCCCUCGAAACUCUGUUUUUAUAACAUUAGACUUCUGAAAAGAUAACUAAAUAAGUUA